rnacentral:rRNA from 1 species
CCUACGGGCGGCAGCAGUAGGGAAUCUUCCACAAUGGGCGAAAGCCUGAUGGAGCAACGCCGCGUGGGUGAAGAAGGUCUUCGGAUCGUAAAACCCUGUUGUGAGAGAAGAAAGGGCGUGAGAGUAACUGUUCACGUGUCGACGGUAUCUAACCAGAAAGCAACGGCUAACUACGUGCCAGCAGCCGCGGUAAUACGUAGGUGGCAAGCGUUAUCCGGAUUUAUUGGGCGUAAGGGGAACGCAGGCGGUCUUUUAAGUCUGAUGUGAAAGCCGUCGGCUUAACCGGAGUAGUGCAUUGGAGACUGGGAGACUUGAGUGCAGAAGAGGAGAGUGGAACUCCAUGUGUAGCGGUGAAAUGCGUAGAUAUAUGGAAGAACACCAGUGGCGAACGCGGCUCUCUGGUCUGUAACUGACGCUGAGGUUCGAAAGCGUGGGUAGCAAACAGGAUUAGAUACCCCUGUAGUC